GCAUUUGACCGCUCCUCCCUCCGCGUUGGAGGCGGAAUAGUGGGUUUUGCUGCAACCGGUUUAUUUUCCUUCUGUUUUCACCCAUUCUGGCACAAUCUGGCGCCAUCGUCCUUCUUGUGAGGCCAAGCCUGAAAAUGCGAAGCAGAGAGGCAGGACCAAAAUUGAGGCGAAUCCAGGAACCUGCCAAUGGGUCUCCGGGUGCGGUCUCUGAAACUGGAGGAUAUCGGGAGGAAAGGCUCUCCGAUGCGGAGAUAAUGGGGAAGCUCUUGGCAUGGUUGGCUGUAGGUAUGUGAUACCGGAGGAGCAGGAGUCAAAUAGGAUACGCCGACUUUUAAUUCAAGGAACCCUUUUCUGAAACACUUUGCCACAAUGAAGGAAAUAAGGAUCUAGUUUGAAGCACUAAGAAGAAUAAGACAUCAGUUUGAAAAGAGGCUCUAUCAGAACAACACGAAUUCUGCUAAAAUUGAAGCAAGAACAAACAUCAAAUAUAUGUUGACACUUGGGUGGAAGAAUGGUGAACUAAUUGAUGCUUUAUGAAAAGUUGAUAGGGACAGUGCUCCAAAGAAAUCAGUUUACAAAUGGAUAACUCGUUUUAAGAAGGCAUAAGGUAAUGUUGAAGAAGAAGCCCACAGUGGCAGAUCAUCCACAUCAGUUUGUGAGAAAAAAGUUAGUUCAUGGCGUAAUUGAAGAAAACCAACAAUUAACAGCAGAAACAACAGCCAACACCAUAGACAUCUCAGUUGGUUCACCUUACACAAUUUUGACUGGAAAAGUUCAGCAAACUUUAUACCUGAUAGGUACCAAAACCAUUGCACCCAGAUCAGCUACAGACAAGAAUAGAGCUUUCAAUGGAAAUUUUAAAUAAGUGGGAUCAGGAUCUUGAAGCCUUUCAUUGAAAAAUUGUAACAGGAGAUGAAACAUGGCUUUACCAGCGCAAUCCUGAAGACAAAACACAAAGCAGUGGUUACCAAGAUAAGUAGU
rnacentral:lncRNA from 10 species